UUAAAUUGAAGAGUUUGAUCAUGGCUCAGAUUGAACGCUGGCGGCAGGCCUAACACAUGCAAGUCGAACGGUAACAGGAAGCAGCUUGCUGUUUCGCUGACGAGUGGCGGACGGGUGAGUAAUGUCUGGGAAACUGCCUGAUGGAGGGGGAUAACUACUGGAAACGGUAGCUAAUACCGCAUAACGUCGCAAGACCAAAGAGGGGGACCUUCGGGCCUCUU
rnacentral:rRNA from 1 species